GAAGUUGAAUUGGGCUGUCCUGGCCCAGUACGAUGGUCUGCAUGGCCCGCUGAAGACUGGUCGGCAGGGUAGUGGGUACUCUUGAAGCUCACCUCAAAAUUUGAAAACCAUCUCCCUCCAAUUUCUCUUUCUAAAACUCUCUUUAACGAGCGCUCUUUCUCUCUCUCUCUCUCGGAUACUGUCUGCAACAGCAAUGGAAGGUCCACUCCUGAAACUGAUAAUUGAGAAAGGCCCCAGAGGUGGAGAAACCCUAGAAUUCAAACCCGGAUCCUCGAUACGGAUCGGGAGGGUGGUCCGUGGUAACAACCUUCCGAUCAAAGACUACGGCAUUUCCUCUAAGCACCUCUCUAUUCAAUUCGAAUCCGGUAAGUGGGUAGUCCGAGACCUUGACUCCUCCAACGGCACCAUACUCAACAACGCCCAGCUCUCACCCGAUGAUCCCGCUGAUCUCCGCGACUUCGACUCUAUCAAGAUCGGCGAGUUCACCUCCAUCACCGUCAGGAUCGUCCAAUGCGAUGAAAGUCGAUUGCGCCGGAACCCUAGGCGGGGAGGGGCUGGAAAAGAGGGGGAGUUGGAUUCUGUGGGCUCGGUUGCAGAGAAUCGGGGCCGGAAGGGGGUUUCCAAGACGGUUAGGGUUGUGAAGGAAGAGGAGAAUGAAGCUGAUUUGGCUUCAGUUAGUGAAGUAGGGUUCGGUAAGGAAUUGGAUAAUAAUUUGGGGGUUGUGGCGGAGAAUCGGGGUGGGCGAGGUCGACCAAAGAGGGCUAAGGUUUUGAAGAAUGAGGCAGUGGAGGAGUCUGGUGAAGUUCAGGGACGUGAAAGGAGUUUGAGUUUGGGUAUAGAAUCAGAGAAUGUUGGUCAGGUUGGAGUCGAACCCGUGAGGCAAAUGGGUUCAAGGAGGACUCGGGCGUCGAAGAAGGAAGAUAAAUUGGUUUCUAGUUUGAUGCUUCAAAAAAUUCCGGAAAUUUCUAAGUUGGAUUGUGUAGAAAUUGGGAUUGAGGAGAAAAAGACAAGGGUGGGUUUGAGAAGGAAGAGGAACACUCAGGAUGAGCCAAUGGAGACUGUUGCAAUUGAUGGUACCACAGAUCAGGAGGUAGUCAAGGGGUCUAACUGUGGAGAAAAGAUUUGUACAGCAUCGACCAGUAUGUCAGGUGCUAAAGAGUGGCCCACUGAGGUAGGAGAUGGACCUGAUUUGGAGAAGAUGACACUUGGGGAUUGGUUCGAUUAUUUGGAGCUUCAUUUACCAAAGCAAAUAUAUGAUGUGACAGAAGAGAUGAUUGCAGGUAUGAGGGAGAGGGGGGAGCGGGUUCGGGAGUAUAUGUUACAACAGAAGAAUGAGAAGGGUAAACUAUCUGUUUGCUAGAGGGAGGAUCCUGCACUUUGAUUGUUAGGAGGCAAACAAGAAGAGAAGCUGCUAACUACUUUCUUGUUCAUUCUGAAGUGAAGGAGACAUUGUUGAGUUGUUAAGGAAAUUUCAAGGAUAAGUGCAACUGGAAAGUGUGGAAGGUGGCCUCUUUGAGUAUCUUUGUGGAGCUUAUUUAAAAGGUGGAAUUGAAGGACUUUUUUAUGAUAGAGUGACCAGGCCUAUGCCCUAAAGGAAGGCUUUCAGGCUUCAUGUUAUCAUUUGAUUUGUAGGGAUAAUUUUAUCAAGGGAAAGAUGCAGAAGGGUAGACAUGUGAGAGAAAGUGAGGUCAAUGCUGGGAAUAUGAUAAGAGCAAUGAAACCCAAAGGAUCACUUCUGGGUAGAUUUGGAGAUCAAUCACUAAGAAGUUGAUAUGAUUUCCCUUUUUAGUUUCAUUUCAUAUGAGAUUCAGAAGUUAUCUUGUUACUUUUAGUGGCAAAAAUCUUCUUACCUCAGCUGAAUUCCUUUGUUAAAAGAAAAAUGAUGGAGGCAUAAUUACAGGAAGCCAGCUAUCUUUCCAUAAUUACAACAAUAAAUAUACGGUACUCUGCUUCUCAUUGUGAUCCUGUAAGACUGGGUUUUUUCAUCAACGUCUGCUGGUGGCAUAUGCAUAGAAGUACAAGCCAUUACUCAGGGCAGAUAGACCUCAAGUUAAGCAUUUUUUACUUAAGAUGGGUGUAUGGAGACUCGAUCCUGUUUCCAUUUUUGACAAUGUGAGAAGUAACCGGAGUGCUUCAUCUGUUCACAUCUUGUGUGGAAUCCCAAGGAGUUGAUAGUAUGAUAGUUGUAUCAGAUGAGUGGAAAGCCAAUCCGGAAGAUAUAUGGUUUCAGUCACUAGAAUUGAGGACCACAUUACGAUUAGAACUUGAGUGGAGAGCACAUUAACCGCAAAUGAGACGUGGUGUUAUGAUGAUAUAGAGCAAUCGAUUCAUACUUAGAGCCCUUGGUGGAGACUGGAGUAUUGUGGGUGAUUCAUUCGAUUAUUAAUGUAAAUGCUUGUUUUA